rnacentral:rRNA from 1 species
UACAUAGGUCUCAAGCGUUGUUCGGAUUCAUUGGGCGUAAAGGGUGCGUAGGCGGCGCGGUAAGUCGGGUGUGAAAUUUCGAGGCUUAACUUCGAAACUGCAUUCGAUACUGCCGUGCUAGAGGACUGGAGAGGAGACUGGAAUUUACGGUGUAGCGGUGAAAUGCGUAGAUAUCGUAAGGAAGACCAGUGGCGAAGGCGGGUCUCUGGGCCGAUACUGACGCUGAGGAGCGAAAGCGUGGGGAGCGAACAGG